GCAGCGAUGUCCGAGUGGUUAAGGAGUUUGACUCGAAAAUCAAAUGAGCUCUGUUCGCGUAGGUUCGAAUACUGCUCGCUGCG
rnacentral:tRNA from 1 species